rnacentral:lncRNA from 1 species
ACAUGCCAGAUAAAUUAGAAACAACAAAAGAUUUACAAAAAUUCUUAGGAUUAGUCAAUUAUGCACGAAAUUUUAUUCAGGAUUUAGGAAAAAUAGCAGGACCAUUAUAUGCAAAAACCGGUAGCAAAGGACAAAAACAUUUUAAUAUAGAAGAUAUUAAAUUAGUCCAAAAGAUAAAAGAAAAAGUCAGCAAUAUCCCGGACUUAAAAAUUCCAUUAGAAUCAGACUACCUCAUAAUUCAAACAGACGGCAGUGAUUUAGGAUGGGGAGCUAUUUUAAAAGCAAGACCUAAUAAAUAUAGUAAUAAAAAUGAAGAACAAAUUUGUGGUUAUCAAAGUGGCGCGUACAAAGAAAAAGGCAAUAUGAGCGCCAUAGACUUAGAAGUAUUAGCAAUCAUAUAUGGCCUUAAUGCUUUCAAAUUAUAUAUAUUAAAUAAAGAAGAAAUAUUAGUCAGAACAGAUUGUGAAGCCAUAGUUAAAUUCCAUCAAAAAAUAAAUGACAAAACUAGUAGUAGACGAAGAUGGUUAAAUUUUACAGAUACCAUAUCAGUUUAUAAGAAUAUCGUAUUCGAACAUAUAAAAGGAAAAGAGAACGCAUUAGCUGACCAGUUAAGUAGAUUACAGCUGGGAAUAACAAAAUAAAUUAAUGUUCAUUCAUUUGUUUCAGCAUGAGACCAACAGGACAAGCUCCUACAGACAAGGGCAAAGGGGUAGCUUCAUCCUCGGAAGCCUACCAACAGACAAUGUUAGGUAACUUAAACUUUAGACCAUUAGAAUCCCUCGAGACCAUGGAACGAAUUCAUUUCGGCCCAUUUAAUUUAAUAGCAUAUCCUGAGAGCAAUAUAUCAUUUAGAGUAAGACCAGACUAUGUUUUAGACAGACCCCAAAGGUGUUUAAUCGAUAACCUCUGGAUUUCUUAUAACAGACAAAAUAGAAACCAUUUCAUGGCAUCUAUGAAUGCUUUAUGUCAUUACAUGGCCGAAAAAAGUAGGCCUCGUUUUAAAUACUAUGUAGUAAUUCAUGGAAAAACUAAUGGCAUUUUUCAAACUUGGUUAGAAGUAUUAGAUUCUAUACAAGGUUUUAAAGCUCCUCUUUUCAAAGGCUUUAAUGAUUUUACAGAAGCUACUAAUCAUGCUAGGGGAUAUUUAGGCCCAAACUAUUACAUAUCUCCUUCUCUAAGACAGAAUCCAGAUCAGAUACCCCAGUACAACCUGCAAAAAGAAACUGGAAAGAUCAUUUUUUGUAAUCACUGUUCUUCCAUGACUGAAAACUUCAAAACACUCAAUGCCCAGAAAGAGUCACUACUCAUGGAAAACACUAGACUAAUCAAACACAUACAAAUGUUAGAGAGAAAACUCAGACAACAGACUCCAGUGAGCAAAACUGAUGCACAAACCCAGACCCCAACUCCGAGUUCUCCAUCUCCUCAAAAAAUGGAUGAGAAGGGUGUGCAUUUCCCAAUAAAUGCUCAGAAAUCCACUGUACCGGAUGUUGGUACAGCUAGUCCGAUUCAAACGGUGAUCGGUAAAGACGCAUCAAAUCCGUUCAUGGCUGUCACUUUGCCAAAAAGUGAAGAUGAAGGUUGCUCUUCAUCAAAAAUUAAGCUAAAAUCUAAAAAGACUUUAAUAUCCAAAAGAAAAACUGAGACAAUAGAGACCAUCAUUAAACAAACACUAGAUAAAUUUUUUAGAAACCAAACUCAAGACAAACAUAUAGAUGACUUUUCAGACGAACAACCAGACAAUGCAAUGCUAGCACUAAAUAAUACAGAGAGUAAUUCUGCAAGAUCAAACGAGGAAGAUAGCAUGGCGCAAUUCGAAGAUAGCAUAGCUGAAGACACACUUUCUAUAUUAAGUUCUACUAUCAGUUAUAAAGAACUAGCAGAAUUGGAACCAACAAGCUCCUCGAGUGCUAGCCCGUUCCAACAAACAAACCCUAAUCCUCAGCCAAUAGAUUAUAGUACAGGUAAUGUACCUAGAAGACCAGCAAUCAGGAUAAACCCAGAUACCGAACUUAGGGGAGAUCAUAUAAAACCAGCAGGUAAACGAAUGCCAAUAGAAGAACCAAUUAAACUACAAGAAGGGGGUAGUAAAGGUAAAAUACUAAACAUAGCAGCUCAUGAUCCCCAAAUGUGGGAUACAGUAAUAGACUUAUGGAAAGGAAUAGUAGCUGCAGAUUACUUACGACACUAUACAGAAACGGAUACAGAAACGAUGUAUAAAUAUUUAGAAACUUUUCUAGGAGAAUCUGCAAAGGCUACGUGGGAAAGUUUUAAGACAAACUGCCCAUAUGACUUCCAGGUUCUAUUAAGUAUGGGGCCAAAUCCCUAUAAUUUUACAAAUAAAAUGCAUAUGUUAUUAACAGGAAAAGAUCCAAAUAGUGGAUUAUUAGCUCUACAAAAGGAAGCGUUAAUAAAACUAGAACAAUUAAGCAUUUCACAUUGGGUAUAUAUAAAGAAAUUCCUACAAGACUACUUCUAUUAUUGUACUGUCAGUGGAAAUACAUUUAAUGAAGAAUUAGGUAAAAAAUUGUUUAAUAAAUUACCAGGAGCCUUAGGAAGAGAAAUAGAAGAUAGAUGGUAUAAGAGAGAUGGGGUAGUUGCUAACCCAAAUUUAAAAUGGACAAUAGGACACAGAACACAACAUAUAAUGGAUAUAUUAACAGAAAAAUGUACAAACAUACAAAUACAAAAACAAUUGAAAAGAAACGAAAUGAAUUUCUGUAAAUCUGUUAUAUAUACAACUCAGAAUUAUGACCAAAAACAACAUAAGAAGUAUAAGAAAAGAAAUAAUCAGAAACCAUAUAGUAGAAAACAAUACUUCUUAAGAAAAUCAAAAGCUAAAAAACCUUGGUUAAAUAGAGAUAGACAUGUUAGAAAAUAUAGAAACGAUAGAAAUUAUAAAAAUAAACUAGAAUGCUAUACGUGUGGCAGCAUAGAUCAUCUAGCCAACGUAUGCCCUAAAAGAAAUAAUAAUAGAACUAGAAAUUCUCAACUAAUAGAAGAUUUCCAAGAAACUUUAUUAAACGUAGAUGAAUAUAUGUCAGAUACAGAAAGUAUAUACUCAAUAAUAAGUAUUGACAUAAAUGAUAGAGAUAAUCAAAAAUCCGACUCUUCUGAAUCAGACGAGGAUAACCUAGUUAAUGAGCUGGGUCAAGAAAUAGAAGAUUUAGACUUAAGCAACCUGAUGAUUAAUAAUUUAAUGAAUGUUAAUCAAGAAUGUAUACAUGAAUUUCAAAGAAAUAAAGGUUUAGAUAGUAAUCGAUGCCGUAUAUGUAAUUGGUAUCCAAGUAAAGACAACAGAGCUAAAUGUAAAAAAUGUUACCUAGAGGCAUGUAUAAAUUGUAUAGAAACCACUUUAAAAAUAAAAGUGGAAUCAGAAAUAAAUAAUGGACAAAAAUAUACGACCAAUCAAAUCUUAAACCUUAGGGUCUCUACUCUAGAAACCCGUCUAAAUGAUAUGGAACAAAGACUAAAUAUGCUAGAAAAAGGAAAAACAAAAAUCACCUUAGAAGAAACGGAUACCCAGGAAGCAGUACAUUUAGAGAAAUUAGAAGCAGAACUUAUGAAUUUAGAAAAUACUAAUACAAAUCUAAUAUGCAAUGAAGAUAAGGAGUUCUCUACUAUUAAAGUUUUAGUAAAAAUCAAAAUUAAAGAAGUGGAAAUAGAAACUUUAGCAUUAGUAGACCCUGGAUGUACUAGCUGUUUAAUCAAUAAAGAAAUAGUACCAGAACAUUUAUUAAAAAUACUUGAAAAACCCAUAAUGGCUACACAGAUGGAUGGAUCACACAAUAUCUAUAAUUAUUAUAUAGAGAAAGCUCAACUAAGCUUUUUAAAUACAUGCAAUCAAUUCUAUAACCCAGUUUACAAUGUUAAUAAAAUACUAGCACGAGAUUUAAAUAUAGGAUCAGAUUUUGUUAUAGGAUUAAGAUUUUGUAUACAGAAUCAGGGAGGAUGUCUCUUGACAAGAGACGGAAUGAUGCUCUUUAAAAAUUUGACUUAUACACCAGUACCAACGACUACACUACCAACAGUAUAUAGAACACUAAACAGAAACAAAACAAGAUUUAGUCCCGAACCAUGCUGCGACAGUUGCCAUAACAAUCAAUGCCAAAAUAGCAACCUGUCAAAAGAAAAAGAAAACCUAGAAGAAGUUAGAAACCAUACACUGCUUAAUGCAGAAGGACAAGAAUGUUUAAUAGAUAUUGAAAAAGACUAUACCCUAAUAAGCAUAGAAACUCAGUUUUAUAAUUUUAGAAAAGGAAUAGAUAAAAUAGGAAUAAUAAACAGCCCAAAGGACUUGGAAAAUAUAAUCUCUAUAUUAGACGAAAUGGAAAUAAUAGGAGAAAAACCGUUAGCUCAUUGGGAAGUCAAUGAGAUAAUGUGCAAAUUAGAUAUAAUCAAUUUAGAAUACACAAUAAAAACAGCACCCAUAGAAGCCAAUAAUGAAGAUACUAAAGAAUUUGAUACACAGAUAAAAGAACUCUUACAAUUAGGAGUAAUAAGAAGAUCUACCUCUAAACAUAGAUCAGCAGCUUUCAUGGUAAGAAAUCAUAGUGAACAAGUAAGAGGAAAAGCUCGUAUGGUAAUAAAUUACAAAAGAUUAAAUGACAAUACUAAAACAGAUGCUUACAAAUUACCCGAUAAAAGUGAGUUAAUAAAUAGAAUUCAAAAUAAAAAGGUUUAUAGUAAAUUUGACUGCAAGUCAGGAUACUGGCAAGUCAAAAUGCAUCCAGACAGCAUCGAAUGGACUGCCUUCACAUGUCCAAGCGGACAUUUCGAAUGGUUAGUUAUGCCGUUUGGAUUAAAAACAGCUCCGCCCAUUUUUCAACGAAAAAUGGAUAACAUAUUCGGAGAAUAUAAACAUUUUAUCUUAGUAUAUGUAGAUGAUAUUUUAGUAUUUAGUCAAACCAUGCAAGAACAUUUAGGACACUUACAAAUGACUUUUAGACUAUUUAUUAAACAUGGUAUAAUAAUAAGUAAAAAGAAGAUGGAAUUAUGCAAAACUUAUAUUAAUUUUCUAGGAAUUACGUUAGGAAAUGGAAAAGUAAAACUACAACCACACAUAGCAAAAAAGGUACUAGACAUGCCAGAUAAAUUAGAAACAACAAAAGAUUUACAAAAAUUCUUAGGAUUAGUCAAUUAUGCACGAAAUUUUAUUCAGGAUUUAGGAAAAAUAGCAGGACCAUUAUAUGCAAAAACCGGUAGCAAAGGACAAAAACAUUUUAAUAUAGAAGAUAUUAAAUUAGUCCAAAAGAUAAAAGAAAAAGUCAGCAAUAUCCCGGACUUAAAAAUUCCAUUAGAAUCAGACUACCUCAUAAUUCAAACAGACGGAAGUGAUUUAGGAUGGGGAGCUAUUUUAAAAGCAAGACCUAAUAAAUAUAGUAAUAAAAAUGAAGAACAAAUUUGUGGUUAUCAAAGUGGCGCGUACAAAGAAAAAGGCAAUAUGAGCGCCAUAGACUUAGAAGUAUUAGCAAUCAUAUAUGGCCUUAAUGCUUUCAAAUUAUAUAUAUUAAAUAAAGAAGAAAUAUUAGUCAGAACAGAUUGUGAAGCCAUAGUUAAAUUCCAUCAAAAAAUAAAUGACAAAACUAGUAGUAGACGAAGAUGGUUAAAUUUUACAGAUACCAUAUCAGUUUACAAGAAUAUAGUAUUCGAACAUAUAAAAGGAAAAGAGAACGCAUUAGCUGACCAGUUAAGUAGAUUACAGCUGGGAAUAACAAAAUAAAUUAAUGUUCAUUCAUUUGUUUCAGCAUGAGACCAACAGGACAAGCUCCUACAGACAAGGGCAAAGGGGUAGCUUCAUCCUCGGAAGCCUACCAACAGACAAUGUUAGGUAACUUAAACUUUAGACCAUUAGAAUCCCUCGAGACCAUGGAACGAAUUCAUUUCGGCCCAUUUAAUUUAAUAGCAUAUCCUGAG